CCUCCCACUACAGUUCCUUCUACCCCCACACCCCCUACGUCUCUCUCCUACCCUCUGUUUUCUGACCUCCCACUACAGUUCAUUCUCCCCCCACACCCCCUCAGUCUCUCUCCUACUCUCGUUUUUCUGACCUCCCACUACAGUUCAUUCUACCCCACACCCCCUCAGUCUCUCUCCCCACCCUCAUACAUCCCACUCUCACUUUUACCUUCCCACUCCAUUCGUGCAAGCCGUCUUUCUCUGUCCAUCCUCCCACUCCAGUUCUCGGUCACCCUCCCACUCCCGUUCUCUGUCACCCUCCCACUCUGGUUCCUCUCACCCUCCCACUCCAGUUCUCUCUCACCCUCCCACUCCAGUUCUCUCUACCCUCCCACUCCAGUUCUUGUCUCCCCUCUCACCCUCCCACUCCAGUUCUUGUCUCCUCUCUCACCCUCCCACUUCUGUUCUUGUCCCCUCUUCACCCACUCCAGUUCUUGUCCCUCUCUUCACCCACUCCAGUUCUUGUCCCCUCUCUCACCUACUCCAGUUCUUGUCCCCUCUCUCACCUACUCCAGUUCUUGUCCCCUCUCUCACCCACUCCAGUUCUUGUCCCCUCUCUACCUACCUCCAGUUCUGUUUCUUCUCUCUCACCCUCCCACUCGUUCUCUCUCACCCUCCCACUCCAAGUUCUUGUCUCCUCUCUCACAUCUGUUCUUGUCCCCUCUCUCACCUACUCCAGUUCUUGUCUCCCCUCUCACCCUCCCCACUCCAUUCUUGUCUCCCUCUCACCCUCCCACUUCUGUUUUUGUCCUCUCUCACCCAUCAGUUUUUUCCCCUCUCUCACCCUACUCCAGUUCUUUUUCUCCCUCUCACCUCCCACUCCAGUUCUUGUCUCCUCUCUCCCCUCCAACACACGUUCUUGUCUCCUCUUCACCCUCCCCACUCCAGUUCUUGUCUCCCUCUCACCCUCCCACUCCAGUUCUUGUUUCUUCUCUCACCCUCCCACUCCAGUUCUUGUCUCCUCUCUCACCCUCCCACUCCAGUUCUUGUCUCUCUCUCACCUCCCACUCCAGUUCUUGUCUCCUCUCUCACCCUCCCACUCCAGUUCUUGUCUCCUCUCUCACCCUCCCACUCCAGUUCUUGUCUCCCUCUCACCCUCCCACUCCAGUUCUUGUUCUCCUCUCUCACCCUCCCACUCCAGUUUUGUCUCCUCUCUCCACCCUCCCACUCCAGUUCUUGUCUCCUCUCUCACCCUCCCACUCCAGUUUUGUCUCCUCUUCAACCCUCCCCCUCCAGUUCUUGUCUCCUCUCUCACCCUCCCACUCCAGUUCUUGUAUCCUCUCCACCCUCCCACUUCCAGUUCUUGUCUCCCUUCUCACCCUCCCACUCCAGUCGUGCAUGCUGUCAGGGAAGUUGCAGGACUCGCUGUCCGAGGGUGUCUCCAGGGCCUCCAGGUUGAUGUCCAGCUCCGUGUCAUCUUCGUCGGGUUGAGAGGGCGCGCGCAGAGUACCCGGGUCCCCUGACUUCACACUGCGGUCCGCUUGAGUCGGUACGGGACAGGUCAGGCUGAGGGUGGGCGCCACCAGACGCUUCUUCCUUAUGGGGUUUUCUGCAGGCGCCAGGCUGGUGGGUGGAGCUGGGGGAGUAGCACACAAAACAGGUAUUGUGGGAUAUGGUGCAGUACUUUUGGAAUUAGGCCUUUGCAGACAUUGGUAUUAGGGAUAUACCUGGUCUCUCUGCAUUUUCUCCUUGGGUCUCAGGACUAUGGGAUCUUCAGGAAGAGGUCUAGGGGGGGAAUACAAAAUAGUUGAAAAAGCUUAGUACUGCUUUCUUACCCGGUCAUAACAAAAAAAGCAUUCUUUGCAGGGACCUAAAAUAUCAUUUAAGAUGUCAUGGUGAACAGGCUGGGGUUUACCGUUCAGGGGGUAGGUUAAAGGUCAGGGUUUAGGUUUUUCUCUGACCUGGGGACUCCUCAUCCUGCCAUUCCUCCCUCAGCUCCAUGUCCUGGAUGUGGAAGCAGCCUUCGCCCCCUCUGGACUCCUACAGAACAGACAGCAUGUCACAGUACAUUCAAUAGUCUUGCUGUACAUGCUGUAAUAAUCAAAAGAUUCAACACACAGUCUAUAGUCCUUAAGAGCUCAAAUAAGACACAGUCUGACGACACUCUGAUGAAGGCCACUGCCCAAACG
rnacentral:lncRNA from 1 species